rnacentral:rRNA from 2 species
CCUGGCGGCCAUAGCGAGUUGGAACCACCGGUUCCCAUCCCGAACACCGCAGUGAAACAGCUCAGCGCCGAUGGUAGUGUGGCAUUGACCAUGCGAGAGUAGGACACUGCCAGGC